GUUUUAAUAGUUUAAGAUAAAACCGUGGUUUUGUAAAUCAUUAAUAGAACAUAAUCUUUAAAACU
rnacentral:tRNA from 1 species